CAUCUGGACCAACAUGUCAAAGAAGUCCCAAGGAUAGGCCUUCACCAAUGACCUUUUAAGGUCAUUCUUCAGAAGUCUACUCAUUAUUGCAGAUAUCACGAUCGCUUGGUUCAGGUCACAAACCUCUAAAGUGGCCACAUUAAAAUGAUUGAAAAAAAAUUAGAUCGACUCUUCCUCCUUCUGCUUGAUGGUAUAAAGGUAGUCGGACCGCUUCUAUUGGUGUUGGUUACUAAUGAAAUGGCUGAUGAA
rnacentral:lncRNA from 1 species